rnacentral:rRNA from 1 species
UACGGAGGGUGCGAGCGUUGUCCGGAAUCACUGGGCGUAAAGGGCGCGUAGGUGGCCACUAUAAGGACGCGGUGAAAGUCCGGAGCUCAACUCCGGAUCUGCCGCGUCGACUGUAGGGCUAGGGCACUGUAGAGGCAGAUGGAAUUCCGGGUGUAGCGGUGGAAUGCGUAGAGAUCCGGAAGAACACCAGUGGCGAAGGCGGCCAGCUGGGCCGGGUCCGACGCUGAGGCGCGAAAGCGUGGGGAGCAAACAGG